rnacentral:miRNA from 1 species
UAUUGCUUGCGAAUACACGAGA